UACAGGGGGCUCGAGCGUUAGUCGGAAUUACUGGGCGUAAAGGGCGCGUAGGCGGACAGUUUAGUCAGAGGUGAAAGCCCAGGGCUCAACCUUGGAAUUGCCUUUGAUACUGACUGUCUUGAGUUCGGGAGAGGUGAGUGGAAUGCCGAGUGUAGAGGUGAAAUUCGUAGAUAUUCGGCGGAACACCAGUGGCGAAGGCGACUCACUGGCCCGAGACUGACGCUGAGGCGCGAAAGCGUGGGGAGCAAACAGG
rnacentral:rRNA from 1 species